rnacentral:rRNA from 1 species
UACACAUNGCAAGUCGAACGAUGAUGCCCACUUGUGGGUGGAUUAGUGGCGAACGGGUGAGUAACACGUGAGUAACCUGCCCUUAACUCUGGGAUAAGCCUGGGAAACUGGGUCUAAUACCGGAUAUGACUCCUCAUCGCAUGGUGGGGGGUGGAAAGCUUUAUUGUGGUUUUGGAUGGACUCGCGGCCUAUCAGCUUGUUGGUGAGGUAAUGGCUCACCAAGGCGACGACGGGUAGCCGGCCUGAGAGGGUGACCGGCCACACUGGGACUGAGACACGGCCCAGACUCCUACGGGAGGCAGCAGUGGGGAAUAUUGCACAAUGGGCGAAAGCCUGAUGCAGCGACGCCGCGUGAGGGAUGACGGCCUUCGGGUUGUAAACCUCUUUCAGUAGGGAAGAAGCGAAAGUGACGGUACCUGCAGAAGAAGCGCCGGCUAACUACGUGCCAGCAGCCGCGGUAAUACGUAGGGCGCAAGCGUUAUCNGGAAUUAUUGGGCGUAAAGAGCUCGUAGGCGGUUUGUCGCGUCUGCCGUGAAAGUCCGGGGCUCAACUCCGGAUCUGCGGUGGGUACGGGCAGACUAGAGUGAUGUAGGGGAGACUGGAAUUCCUGGUGUAGCGGUGAAAUGCGCAGAUAUCAGGAGGAACACCGAUGGCGAAGGCAGGUCUCUGGGCAUUAACUGACGCUGAGGAGCGAAAGCAUGGGGAGCGAACAGGAUUAGAUAC